rnacentral:rRNA from 1 species
AGCCCGCUCCCGGUAAAACGGGACGGCCCGCCAGAGGACCCCUAAACUCUGUUUCUAUAUGUAACUUCUGAGUAAAACCAUAAAUAAAUCAAAACUUUCAACAACGGAUCUCUUGGUUCUGGCAUCGAUGAAGAACGCAGCAAAAUGCGAUAAGUAAUGUGAAUUGCAGAAUUCAGUGAAUCAUCGAAUCUUUGAACGCACAUUGCGCCCGCCAGUAUUCUGGCGGGCAUGCCUGUUCGAGCGUCAUUUCAACCCUCAAGCACAGCUUGGUGUUGGGACUCGCGUUAAUUCGCGUUCCUCAAAUUGAUUGGCGGUCACGUCGAGCUUCCAUAGCGUAGUAGUAAAACCCUCGUUACUGGUAAUCGUCGCGGCCACGCCGUUAAACCCCAACUUCUGAAUGUUGACCUCGGAUCAGGUAGGAAUACCCGCUGAACUUAAGCU